rnacentral:rRNA from 1 species
CCGCGGGAUUGAGUUUGAUCUGGCUCAGAAUCAACGCUGGCGGCGUGCCUAACACAUGCAAGUCGAACGAGAAAGUGGAGCAAUCCAUGAGUAAAGUGGCGCACGGGUGAGUAACACGUGACUAACCUACCCUUGAGUGGGGAAUAACUUCGGGAAACCGAGGCUAAUACCGCAUAACACCUACGGGUCAAAGGAGCAAUUCGCUUAAGGAGGGGGUCGCGGCAGAUUAGUUAGUUGGCAGGGUAAUGGCCUACCAAGACGGUGAUCUGUAUCCGGCCUGAGAGGGCGCACGGACACACUGGAACUGAAACACGGUCCAGACUCCUACGGGAGGCAGCAGUGGGGAAUUUUGCGCAAUGGGGGAAACCCUGACGCAGCAACGCCGCGUGGAGGAUGAAGUCCCUUGGGACGUAAACUCCUUUCGAUCGGGACGAUUAUGACGGUACCGGAAGAAGAAGCCCCGGCUAACUUCGUGCCAGCAGCCGCGGUAAUACGAGGGGGGCGAGCGUUGUUCGGAAUUAUUGGGCGUAAAGGGCGCGUAGGCGGUCGGAUAAGUCUUGUGUGAAAUCUUCGGGCUCAACUCGAAGUCUGCACAGGAAACUAUCUGGCUUGAGUGUGGGAGAGGUGAGUGGAAUUCCUGGUGUAGCGGUGAAAUGCGUAGAUAUCAGGAGGAACACCUGUGGCGAAAGCGGCUCACUGGACCACAACUGACGCUGAGGCGCGAAAGCUAGGGGAGCAAACAGGAUUAGAUACCCUGGUAGUCCUAGCCCUAAACGAUGAUCGCUUGGUGUGACGGGUACCCAAUCCCGCCGUGCCGAAGCUAACGCGUUAAGCGAUCCGCCUGGGGAGUA